GUAAUACAGUUUUUAAUCUUCAGAAGUUAUAAAUCAAAACGAUCUGAUGGUUUGCUUUGUAUAACUUCUGAAGAUUAAAAACUGUAUUACAGGAUCAGUAGCAUUGGAGGAAAAAAGAAAAACUAUUGCAGUUUAUUUUUCUAUAUAAUUAUACAUAAGCAUGAACUUGUUCUCAAACUUCAUAUUGCUCAAGCUGGACGUCCUUAGCCUUCAAAGGAACAUACUCUCCAAGCAGAUAAACUUCAAGGUGAUCUGAUAGGGCUGAUUUGUCGAUGUUUUCAUGGUGAUAUGAUUUGCAGACGAAGUAAAUCACUGUUUGGAUUACAAGUAAAAACAGGAACAACUUAAGAAGCAACAAGAAACAAAUUAUCCCAUAUGAUACCCUAUUCACCAUGCCUAAGGAUCUUCCAUGGACCACCAGCUUCUCAAAUGCUACCUGAAUUACGAAUAGAGACACAUUCAGCUUGAAGAAUAUGAUGGUUGUUACCCACAUCUUACCUUUUAUCAGAGCCCUGCUCUUCACCAUGGCCUUAACUCCACAAGCCUCCUCUAACACGGACACAACACUAGACAGCUGCCAAAUUAUACUCAUGUACACAAUACCCACGAAAUACAAAAUCAAUAAACCAAUGAAAGUCAACACCCCAAUACUUGUUUCUGAAAUAAAAAAAAGCCCAUGCGAUAAAGAGCAGGACAGCAACUAUGUUGUAGGCAAAAAGAGCAGCAAAAAUACACAAAAAUGUGACCAUGAGCCUCUUCCAAACCUUAGGGACUACGCUCAUAACCUUGGCGAAAGUGACUUCUCUCCCUGUAUAAAUGCAAGCAAUGGUGUAAACAAC
rnacentral:misc_RNA from 1 species